rnacentral:rRNA from 1 species
UGGGGAAUCUUGCGCAAUGGUCUAACGACUGACGCAGCGACGCCGCGUGUGGGAGGACGCCUUUCGGGGUGUAAACCACUGUUGCCCGGGACGAACUGCGCGAUUUGUCGCGCGUGACGGUACCGGGUGAGGAAGCACCGGCUAACUCCGUGCCAGCAGCCGCGGUAAUACGGAGGGUGCGAGCGUUGUCCGGAAUCAUUGGGCGUAAAGGGCGCGUAGGUGGCCCGGUCAGUCCGUGGUGAAAGCGCGGGGCUCAACCCUGCGUCGGCCAUGGAUACUGCCGCGGCUCGAGCACUGUAGAGGCAGGCGGAAUUCCGGGUGUAGCGGUGGAAUGCGUAGAGAUCCGGAAGAACACCGGUGGCGAAGGCGGCCUGCUGGGCAGUAUGGCUGACACUGAGGCGCGACAGCGUGGGGAGCAAA